GAGAUGUUGGAGACAGUCGUUAAGCUUUGGAUCGAUGAAGUAUGCACUGGAAGUCCAUGCGUGUUUCAGCAUGACUCGGCACCUUAUAAAACCCACGUAGCACAUAAAUGGAUGUCAGACUAUCCUUACAACUUUGGCCUCCAAACUUGCGAAAUUUGAAUCCCAUGGAGAACUACUUUUGAUGGCUGAUUUGUCGGGUAAAACUUUAUUACAGUAUUCACCAUGUCGAAAACACAGCGUGUAGCAAAGAAAAUUACUGCAGAAACAAAGAAAGAGAAUAUUUCUAAAAUUAUUUGCAUGUGGAAAAGGAAAGAAAUGGCGAAUAAAUUGAAGAUCACUUGUUCUUCCAGGU